rnacentral:rRNA from 1 species
CACCAGCCCCUCGAGUGGUGGGGAUGAUUAUUUGGCCUAAAGCGUCCGUAGCCGGCCGGGUAAGUUUCCCGUUAAAUCCAGCGUCUCAAGCGUUGGACUGCGGGAAAUACUGCCUGGCUAGAGAGUGGGAGAGGUCAGCGGUAUUCUGGGGGUAGGGGCGAAAUCCUUUGAUCCCCGGAGGACCACCAGUGGCGAAGGCUGCUGACUAGAACACGUCUGACGGUCAGGGACGAAAGCUGGGGUAGCGAACCGGAUUAGAUACCCGGGUAGUCCCAGCCGUAAACGAUGCAUGCUAGGUGUUGGGUUGGCCACGAGCCACCCCAGUGCCGCAGGGAAGCCGUUAAGCAUGCCGCCUGGGAAGUACGAUCGCAAGAUUGAAACUUAAAGGAAUUGGCGGGGAGCACCACCAGGCGGGAAGCCUGCGGUUU